UGAGGAAUAUUGGACAAUGGGCGCAAGCCUGAUCCAGCCAUGCCGCGUGCAGGAAGAAGCAUCUAUGGUGUGUAAACUGCUUUUGUACGGGAAGAAACACUCCUACGUGUAGGAGCUUGACGGUACCGUAAGAAUAAGGAUCGGCUAACUCCGUGCCAGCAGCCGCGGUAAUACGGAGGGUGCAAGCGUUAAUCGGAAUUACUGGGCGUAAAGCGCACGUAGGCUGUAGUGUAAGUCAGGGGUGAAAUCCCACGGCUCAACCGUGGAACUGCCUUUGAUACUGCAGGUCUUGAAUUAUUGGGAAGUAACUAGAAUAUGUAGUGUAGCGGUGAAAUGCUUAGAGAUUACAUGGAAUACCGAUUGCGAAGGCAGGUUACUACCAAUGGAUUGACGCUGAUGGACGAAAGCGUGGGUAGCGAACA
rnacentral:rRNA from 1 species